rnacentral:rRNA from 1 species
UACGUAGGGUGCAAGCGUUAAUCGGAAUUACUGGGCGUAAAGCGUGCGCAGGCGGUUGUGCAAGACAGAUGUGAAAUCCCCGGGCUCAACCUGGGAAUUGCAUUUGUGACUGCACGGCUAGAGUGUGUCAGAGGGGGGUAGAAUUCCACGUGCAGCAGUGAAAUGCGUAGAGAUGUGGAGGAAUACCGAUGGCGAAGGCAGCCCCCUGGGAUAACACUGACGCUCAUGCACGAAAGCGUGGGGAGCAAACAGG